AUUGUUUUUCUCUUAAAGGGGAAUAAUAAAUGUAUCAUACUAUAAACUGGGCAGGUGAAGUCAACGAACCAAAAAAACCUCUCCCUUUAUACUUUUUUUUUCUUUCUUAUGAUUGUGUCUUGGCCCACUCAGGUUUCUACAACAAAAUACCAAGAAUGAAUGCCUUAUAAAUAGUAGAAAUUUACUGCUCACAGUUUCUGAGGCUGGAACCCCAAGUUCGGGGUGCCAGGAUGGUUCAAUAAGGGCCCUUUUCCUGUUGCAAACUUCUCAUUGCAAACUCUGUGGGGUCUCUUUUGUUAGAGAAUUUAAUCUUGUUCAUGAUCUGAUCACUUCCCAAAGGUCCCACCUACUAAUAUUACCACCUUUCGGGGUUAGGAUUUCAACAUAUGAAUUUUGGGAAGAAUGUUUAUUCAGAUCGCAGCACAUUGAAAGUUAAUAUUGACUCACUUUUAAUCACAUGAGUCUUCCACAGAACACUCUUCCUACUAGUAAUUGGUGUGAAUUGGUAUAUUUUCCAUGUUGAGUCAUGUUUUUUUACCUUUGUUUCCAGCCAGAGUUCUUGAAGCGAAACAUUUCUAAUGCCUUAUUCAAUCAUUGAGGUUAGGCAAUCAGUCAUUCAAAAAGUAUGUAUUGAACACUUACUAUGUUCUGUGCAGUACUCUGUCUAGGUGAUACCCAUUUUAAAGUCAUAGACAUAUUGUUCAGUAUUGCCUCUAGAUGCAAUUAAACAGAAUUUAUGGGUCAGUGAUCUCUGCCUCUGCCCAAUCUGAGUUUCUUCUAGCCUCUUGCAAGAAUUUCAGAAUGAAUAUUUUCUUCCAAAUUCCUCUUCUCAGAAGGCAGCAGGGUAUUUCUGUAAUCUUAAUGAGUACUUAAUCGGCAUUUCGCGAGGGGUCUAGUAAACUCUAGAUGGGCAACUGACAGCAUAAAUGAAACAUAUACAAUGUGGUAAAGAGCAAAACUCCUCCAGAUAGCCAGGGUACAUCCCUGUGAAUUUUCCCAGUAUAGUCCAGUUUAAGAGUUUAGCUUAAUCUUUAAGUUAUGGUCCUGUGCCCAAUUCCAGCUUCCAAAAGAGAUGAUUCUCAGCUCUUGCACUUGUAAUUCAAACUGGCCAUGCUUGAAAUGAAAGGUUAUUGAUGGAAAUUAAGAAUUGCUUCUGGCAGCACAAAAAGUCAUGCUUAAAGACAGGUGCAAAUAAAUGAUGAUAUAAGAACCUGGUGUUUGACUGUUUACCAGAAACAGCUCUGCAAAUACUGCCUAUGGGAGUUUAUUUUUCACCUGGCCUUUACCUGUUCUUCUUUUAGGGACAUGGAAGGUGAACAUUAGGUUAAGAGAAGUAAUAAAAAAAGGAAAACAAAAUUGUAAACCCAAUUAAUUAAAGGCUUGUCUUCAACAGGUGCUCUCACCAUGGUCUAUGUUAGGCUACCAAUGUGACAUCACUGAAUGCUGAACUGAGAAGAGGUGUGAACAAUUGUUUGUCUUCAAAUGUGCAAGCUGACCCCAGCGUACUACAGACUCUUGGUAGCUUGUUCCUCUAAAUAGGAGUUCUCCAAAGGAGUGGUUUCCAAACUGGAGUAAAUGUAUUCCAUGGACUCUACAAGAUACCUAUUGGGAAGGAGCCUAUUUCCCUGUUAUAUGGUUUGGAAUUGGCUUAACUCUUAGCUUCAGAGAUUGGCCCUGAAUGGCAUCAGCCAAUAUACUUCAUCCCCAUCAGCUGAAGAAUUAUGAAACCUCAAAUAAUCAGCACAUCGCAUUUCCACAGCCAUAGCAAAUGGCCCAUGGUGAACAUGUGACUUACUCAGAAGCCGAAAUAGCUCCAGUGGCUGACUCAUCUUUUCAGGAUCUGCUUUCAGAAAUAUUGACUUUGAGAGAACAUUAAAUAAAAUAGGACUCAGUGUGUCAGAUGCCCAAGGAUCUAGUGGUUUGACUCCAUUAUAACCACUUCCUAUUUCUGCAACUGGAGAUAUACACUUGAGUCAUCCAUAUCAAAGCACCAUCACCUGAGAAACUGAAAACCCAACAACAUGGCUUCUUUAUCAAGGAGCAUCUGUUUCUUACAGUGAUCAGAUUGCCGUUCAGCCUUUUUCUGCAUAGCUGAUAAUUCAGAAGCAUCCUCCUAUACAGUAAUUAAAGAUGAGUUUUCCAGCCCUGUUGAAAAACUCCUCAAUUUAGCUAUGACAGGUUAUAUUUUAUAAUGAGGUGAAAGGAUAUCACUGCUGGAGAAAAAAAAAUCCAUGGACUCUGCUACUCACAAAAGGCUGUCAAAUAUCAUAUGCUUCAGUGUAGAGGCUCGUUGUAGAAGGAAUGCUGCUGUGGGGUUUCAGAUUUUCCUUGGUCUAUCUGUAUUCUUAGAACAAACAGUGUGGAGAAAUGGUAAAUCUCUGGAAGGAGUCAAACUCUCAGUGACUGGCUAGGCUGUUUUUCCCUUGGAGCAGAAGCAAAUGUUCAUAAAUAGCCCUGUUCACCAUCUCUCCAUUGCCCAUUCAGAAGAGCCCUAAUUGACACCCACACCUUCAGAGUAAAGGCAAAGGCACAGCUAGGGGACGGAAGAAUUCACUUCAGUUUCACAGUCUUUCUGUGGGCCUGGGAUGUUUAUUAUAAUCAAUUUUUUAUUCUGUUUUGGUAGAUUGUCCAACCCUGUCACACCCUUCUGUUUCCUCAUCAGCGUGUAUUUUGCAAAAUUAUCAUGAUUGUCACCUUUGCCCUAACUGAAAGGUAACAAUGAACUAACUUUAUUUCCUGUUCAAACUUAGACCAGAAUGUUGGUGGAGUUCAAAUCACGUUUAUUGGCUCUGUAUGUGUAUUUUUUUAAAUGUGCAUGUGCGCGUGUGCACACACACACACACACACGUUCAUUUAAGGCUGAAACUGUUGGACCAAGGCCAGUUUUCAGCUUUGUUGUGCCAUCUCAAAUGAGAUCCCUCAGUCCCCAAGGGCGGGCAGCCACUUGCAAGUGCCUGACAGAUUGGAAGUACGUUCAUUUCCUGUAGUCCUUUUAAACACAGCCAGCUGUGUAAGAUGAAACUUGCUAUCUUCCGUAUUGUUCCAGUAGGCAUUUCGGAAACUUCCUGAGUGGGACUCUCUUAAUUCCUCCCACUUUUUUUCUUGCUAAAUUAAGACAUUAGUAUAUAUGUAUGAAUUAAGACUUUGGAGAUAUAGAUAUCAUGUAUAAAUAAUUUUUUAUGAUAAAAUGAUUUUAUGGGAAGUUCACACUAUAAAUGAGAGGUAAAGAGUCAAAAAAGAAGGAGAGGGACCUGGAACACCUAGUUUUGUGUUCAGUUCCAUGACACCAGGGACUCCAAUGUAUAAACAAAACCAAAAGGGGAAAUUAAAUUUGUCAGCUAGAGAAUUUUAUUUAAAAAAUAGUCACAGUUAUAGGAAAUGUUACAGAUUAUGUGACACCGGAUAGCCUUUAUUUAUCUGCCUUUUCAUUGCCACAGAGUACAUGUUAACCUUGAGAGCACCUGAAAAAAAUUCAAGACAUCUGGGUCCUUGAUUUCCUAUUUACUUUCAAUAAUAACUCAGGUUUUGUGUCAAAAUACUAAUAAAUAUUGCCAAAAAGAGAAAUUAUUUCUGGACUUUGUUUCUUCAGAGAAUGAUAUCACAUUAAAACUUGGCAGAAAACGUGUUUGUUAAAUAUUAACUUCAAUGGCUUGAGAGGAAAAAUAUUGAGAACCAAAAUGUGUUGGACAUAUAACAUUAUAUCUUCGCAUAUCUACAGAGA